rnacentral:lncRNA from 1 species
UUGAAAUGAAAGUAUAAAGUAGUGUUUCCCACGUGACAGUCAACUGAGGGCUCUUGGUCACAAAGAAAAGCAACAACGAAAAGAUGAAAUGAACGGAAGCCUACAAAACCAGGCAAAACAAACACAUUCUCACACUCAUACUCACUCCAACAUUGUUAAAAACUCACCAGUGUCUUUCAUUUUCCUCACAAACUAAACAGCCCCAGUUACCUGCAUCAUCUAACCUCAAAAAUCCAUAAUUUUCUCUCAAACCAAACAUCCCCAAUCCUCCCCCUCCCCACCCACAAAAAAAAAAAAAUGAUUUUUAACAAUACCCAAAUGCCAUCAACUAGGACCAUUGUAUCCGCAGCUGNNNN